rnacentral:rRNA from 1 species
GGCUUGGAAGCAGCCAUUCAUUUAAAGAGUGCGUAACAGCUCACUAGUCGAGCGGACGAGCAUGGAUAAUAAUCGGGCAUAAGCAUAUUACCGAAGCUAUGGAUUUUACAUUAAUUUGUAGAGUGGUAGGGGAGCAUUCUAACAGGGUUGAAGGUGUAUCGCGAGGUAUGCUGGACCGGUUAGAAAAGAAAAUGUAGGCAUAAGUAACGAUAAUGCGGGCGAGAAACCCGCACACCGAAAGACUAAGGUUUCCGCAGCUAUGCUAAUCAGCUGCGGGUUAGUCGGGACCUAAGGCGAACCCGAAAGGGACAGUCGAUGGCCAACGGGUUAAUAUUCCCGUACUACUUAUUGUUGUGAUGGAGUGACGCAGUGGUGAAAGUACCGCGAACUGACGGAAUAGUUCGUUUAAGGCUGUAGCUAUAUCCCAGAUAGGCAAAUCCGUUUGGGAUGGUAAAGGCUGAAAGUACUCGGAGUCUUCGGACAAAGAGAUAGUGUACCUAAAGGCUGCCAAGAAAAGCUUCUAAACUUAGAUAAUAAGUACCCGUACCGUAAACCGACACAGGUAGUCGAGGAGAGAAUCCUAAGGUGCUCGAGAGAUUCAUGGCUAAGGAAUUAGGCAAAAUAGACCUGUAACUUCGGGAGAAAGGUCGCCCCGAGCAAUCGGGGCCGCAGUGAAAAGGUCCAGGCGACUGUUUAUCAAAAACACAGGGCUCUGCCAAAUCGUAAGAUGAAGUAUAGGGCCUGACACCUGCCCGGUGCUGGAAGGUUAAGAGGAGAUGUUAUCAGCAAUGAGAAGCAUUGAAUUGAAGCCCCAGUAAACGGCGGCCGUAACUAUAACGGUCCUAAGGUAGCGAAAUUCCUUGUCGGGUAAGUUCCGACCUGCACGAAUGGUGUAACGAUCUGGACACUGUCUCAGCCAUGAGCUCGGUGAAAUUGUAGUAUCGGUGAAGAUGCCGAUUACCCGCAGUGGGACGAAAAGACCCUGUGCACCUUUACUAUAGCUUAGUAUUGGUCUUGGAUAAGUGAUGUGUAGGAUAGGUGGGAGACUAUGAAGUGGCGUCGCUAGGCGUUGUGGAGUCAUUGUUGAAAUACCACCCUUUGCUUAUCUGAGGUCUAACCCCAUAAUGUGGGGGACAUUGCUUGGUGGGUAGUUUGACUGGGGUGGUCGCCUCCAAAAGAGUAACGGAGGCUUCUAAAGGUGUCCUCAGCACGCUUGGUAACCGUGCGUAGAGUGCAAUAGCAUAAGGAAGCUUGACUGUGAGACCGACAAGUCGAGCAGGUACGAAAGUAGAGUAUAGUGAUCCGGUGGUUCCGCAUGGAAGGGCCAUCGCUCAAAGGAUAAAAGGUACGCCGGGGAUAACAGGCUGAUCUCCCCCAAGAGC